GAGUAUCUAUGAAAGCGCAUUCUAUUAUUGAUGACACAGCUACUGCGUCAAAUUUCAACUAGAGAAGUCAUAGCGCAGAUUUUGCUUUUCCAAAAACGGUAUGGCGUGAUAAACUUUAAAAUAGCUCGGUCACGUGACAUUAUAAAGAUGUUGCAUUUGAAAAUAAAAAUAAACCUCCAAAACAUCCUGCGUGUAUAUCUAUAAGUAUCAGUCUAGACAUAUUUGUUGACAAAGACAAAACAAAAAAAAAACAACCAAGAGAUUAUUUCAGUAUUUUACCCUUUAUAAGACGAUUGCUAUAUUUAGUGCAUUAAUUGGACGUUGUGACAGCCUAGCGGUAUGAAGAUUGUAGCAUUUUUGGUCGGUAUUUCAAGCCUCGCUCUGGGAGCCAACGCAGAUUGCUGUAAAAAUGACUGGCUAUCAUAUGAGGGACAUUGCUACUACAUCGGUUAUGAAACCCUUUUGACCUUCACUUCUGUGUGGGCGUAUUGUAACAGUCGGGACGCCUACCUUGUGCGGCUAGAGACACCUGGAGAAUAAAUAUUCGUGAAAGAAUAUUUGAAGAAAACUAGAGCAAGAACGCCAUGGAUUGGUUUGACUGACAUGUAUAGCGAAGGGAAGUGGCAAUGGAUGGAUACUGGAAAACAUAUUCGAUUCUCUGACUGGGCAUACGGUCAACCCGACAAUUCCAGAAACGAAGACUGCGUGCACUUAAAUAGUAAAUUAUGAAAUUCAAGUGGAAUGAUGUAAGCUGCAACUACAAAUUCAUUCCAUUGUGUGAAUAUGACUUAAGCUAAAUUUUGUCGAAUCAACGGAUAGAACAUCGUUUUUCUUUUCAGUAUCACCUUUUUUAUUAGUUCAAAAUUUUAUGAAAAAAAGUGUUUUCCUUUUUAAUGAUUGAUAAAACUAUAAUGAUGGUAUGACAUGACAUAAAUCUAAUCCAAACCUCUUAAUCAUAACUUUUCUAGGAAGUAAUUUUAACAUGUUAUUUUUAAACAUUGUAAAAAACCUUGAAUUAUCUUUAUUUGUCCUAAUUCUUACAGCAACUUCUUAAGUGUUUUAGGGCAUAAACAUUUCUGUGUUUUGGGCAACCCGAUCCUACCAAGAGAAACCCUCAUGGCCCUUAAUCAUAUUCCUUGAAACAUUUUGAAACGGAUUAAAAGAUAUUUCUAACCUA